rnacentral:rRNA from 1 species
GAUGAACGCUGGCGGCGUGCCUAAUACAUGCAAGUCGAGCGAACAGACGAGGAGCUUGCUCCUCUGACGUUAGCGGCGGACGGGUGAGUAACACGUGGAUAACCUACCUAUAAGACUGGGAUAACUUUGGGAAACCGGAGCUAAUACCGGAUAACAUGUUGAACCGCAUGGUUCAACAGUGAAAGACGGUCUUGCUGUCACUUAUAGAUGGAUCCGCGCCGCAUUAGCUAGUUGGUAAGGUAACGGCUUACCAAGGCAACGAUGCGUAGCCGACCUGAGAGGGUGAUCGGCCACACUGGAACUGAGACACGGUCCAGACUCCUACGGGAGGCAGCAGUAGGGAAUCUUCCGCAAUGGGCGAAAUCCUGACGGAGCAACGCCGCGUGAGUGAAGAAGGUCUUCGGAUCGUAAAACUCUGUUAUUAGGGAAGAACAAAUGUGUAAGUAACUAUGCACGUCUUGACGGUACCUAAUCAGAAAGCCACGGCUAACUACGUG